UUGUGUGAUUGACAGUUUAUGUCUGAGAUGUAUGCCGACACCCACGCACAAUGACUGAGUAGAAAUAUAUGGUAAUACACCAAGGAACUAUGAGACAGAGCUGAUCUAGCAUGGUGAUGUACCUUAAUACCUCCUCAUGAGAUACUUUUGUCAGACCUCUGGUCAGCAAGGUGUGUGAUAUUGUUACAGAGAACAAAGAUGUGGACGGAGAUGUGAACCGAACCUUCCAUCCUUCUGAUAAGGUGUGAAGAACCGUUUAAAGACAUCAAAGUUCUUUCUUUUCAAUGGUGCUAUGAAUCUGUGUGAUAUCUUUGUUUUGAUGUUUAAACAAGUUAAUAAUUCAUGACUUUGCCUAGUUGGGGACAUUUUGAGGGAUAAUGACUGGUCCAAUGAACCCUUACCUCUAAUGGUAAGGGUGUAAAGAUGCAGCUGUAGAAAAGGAUGAAGACAUGAGGGGACCGGAGCCCCACUGUGGCUCUCUGUGUGCUGCAGCUGUUCGGUGACUUCAUUUAUGGAAAGAACAAGAUGCAGAGGUCCCACCCUGGGUCUUAGUCAGUAGGUCAGUUCGCCAUGCUUCUGUCCAGACGUCCACUGUUUCCCUCCCUGAAAAAACAUUUUUUUCUUCUGGAAUAUCUUUGUGUAAAUACCAUUUCAUCCCUCCUCCCACUAUUUUGCUCCCCGUCUCUCUUUUUCUCCCUCCCUUCACCUUGGUCCUCUCACUCCUUCGUUAUCAAUGGCCCUCAUUCAUUCCAUCUCACCGUCUGCAUGCCUAUGUGCCCCCCACCACCAGCUCUCUAUUCAUUCCUUUGAUUUUUCUUGCCUGUAUCUUUCCACGAUCGUGGCUCCCACCCCUCCCAGGCAGCAGUUUCCUCCAACCUUCAGUGGAGUCCUAUCUCUCCUCCAUCUUUGGCUGCUUCAUUAUGGAUCUUGGUAGAUGCAAAUGGAGAUGUGGUUUGUCCGGCCAUAAGCCGUAUUCAUUGUUGGCCUUCACAAAGAGUGAAUUUGCUGUUCUCGUGUGUAUUUUGGGACUGGUUUGAUAGGGAUCUUAUCUGUUUAAUUGUGGUAAAUUGAUGUUUUAAGUGAAUACGUAUAAAUGUUACCUGCUCUUUAUAUUACGCUGCAGUGACUUGACUUCAUGACUCAGUGUAACAUAUUCUCCCAUCGUGGUUCAUGCUGUGUCAUCAGUCCUUCUAAACACCUUUUAUUAGACCAGCCAUCAUGUGCCAUCUGAGAAAAUUACCUUCUAACAGUGAGUAAUUCGGCUAAAUAGAGCAAAUCCUCGAGUUCUCCUAUUGCUAUUUUAACGUCAAAGGGUGAGGAAGCUAUCUUCAAACUCCCCACCCAAAAAAA
ensembl:lncRNA